rnacentral:lncRNA from 1 species
UUUUUUUAAAUUUUUUUUUUUUUGUCAGAGCAAAUGUCUUGAUCAACAAAGUGUUAAAAUUGAAACGCCGAAAAAAUAGAUCAAGAAAAAUUACUUAAUGCAAGAAAAUAAAAGAUAAGAAAAGAGCAUACUGAUAUUUAUAUGGUUCGACUAUCGGCCUAUGCCCACAGAUAAAGACGGAACAAAUAUUUUAUUAAUUUCGAAAGACGAAGUACAAAAAAAAUCUCUCAAAGAACCAAAACUUGAAUAGAUCGGAAACACAGAAAUCCGCAUCCGUACAAGCGACUCCAAAUAAGCGGCUCGGCUCCUCUCACCCGUACGGACCACCCUUCCUUAAUUCUCACUUAAUUAAUUAACAUGGCUCUUAAUUUGGUCGCGGCCUCAUUAACUUAGCCGUAACAUGUAUAUAUAAUACAUGUCCCCUAACUAGAGUUUAAUCCUAAUUCAAUUAAAAUUACACUCCUACUUAUAAUCUAUAUAUGCCAAAUUAAAUAUAAAUUAUAUCUAAUCCUAAUUAUAUUAGAAUUUGACUUCAAUUUAGAUAACUACAAAUC